rnacentral:misc_RNA from 1 species
GUAGGUGAACCUGCGGAAGGAUCAUUAUCGAAUAAACUUGAGCAGGCUGUUGCUGGCUUCUUGGCAUGUGCACGCUUGUCAUCUUUGUUUCUCCCAACUGUGCACAUAUUGUAGACCCUGGAUUUGAGGAUUGCUGUGUAAGCUUUCCUUGCAUUUUUCUCCAGGUCUAUGUCGUUUUCACAAUCUCUGAAUUAUUGUUAGAAUGUUUGUUGGAAAUAUACAUAUAUACAACUUUCAGCAAUGGAUCUCUUGGCUCUC